rnacentral:tRNA from 1 species
GCCCGGGUGGCUUAGCUGGACAUAGCGCCGCACUCAUAGGGUUCAGAGAUUCGGUGCGGUUUCGCCUUGGAAGCCUCCGUGUCCCCACGAGGACUCUGCCGAGCCUCGGACCUGGGACAUGCGGAGAUCGAGGGUUCGGAGCCCUCCCCGGGCA